GAUGAACGCUGGCCGCGUGCCUAAUACAUGCAAGUCGAGCGAACGGACGAGAAGCUUGCUUCUCUGAUGUUAGCGGCGGACGGGUGAGUAACACGUGGAUAACCUACCUAUAAGACUGGGAUAAUUUCGGGAAACCGGAGCUAAUACCGGAUAAUAUUUUGAACCGCAUGGUUCAAAAGUGAAAGACGGUCUUGCUGUCACUUAUAGAUGGAUCCGCGCUGCAUUAGCUAGUUGGUAAGGUAACGGCUUACCAAGGCAACGAUGCAUAGCCGACCUGAGAGGGUGAUCGGCCACACUGGAACUGAGACACGGUCCAGACUCCUACGGGAGGCAGCAGUAGGGAAUCUUCCGCAAUGGGCGAAAGCCUGACGGAGCAACGCCGCGUGAGUGAUGAAGGUCUUCGGAUCGUAAAACUCUGUUAUUAGGGAAGAACAUAUGUGUAAGUAACUGUGCACAUCUUGACGGUACCUAAUCAGAAAGCCACGGCUAACUACGUG
rnacentral:rRNA from 1 species